rnacentral:rRNA from 1 species
UCCUACGGGGAGGCAGCAGUAGGGAAUCUUCGGCAAUGGACGGAAGUCUGACCGAGCAACGCCGCGUGAGUGAAGAAGGUUUUCGGAUCGUAAAGCUCUGUUGUAAGAGAAGAACGAGUGUGAGAGUGGAAAGUUCACACUGUGACGGUAUCUUACCAGAAAGGGACGGCUAACUACGUGCCAGCAGCCGCGGUAAUACGUAGGUCCCGAGCGUUGUCCGGAUUUAUUGGGCGUAAAGCGAGCGCAGGCGGUUAGAUAAGUCUGAAGUUAAAGGCUGUGGCUUAACCAUAGUACGCUUUGGAAACUGUUUAACUUGAGUGCAAGAGGGGAGAGUGGAAUUCCAUGUGUAGCGGUGAAAUGCGUAGAUAUAUGGAGGAACACCGGUGGCGAAAGCGGCUCUCUGGCUUGUAACUGACGCUGAGGCUCGAAAGCGUGGGGAGCAAACAGGAUUAGAUACCCUGGUAGUCC